rnacentral:rRNA from 1 species
GCUUAGCAUGAAGUGAAGCACAUACACCUGCUGAAUUUAAGCAUAUAAGUAAGUGGUGGAAAUUAAACCAAAUGGGAUAUCUUUAGUAAUUGCGAAUGAACAAGGAUAUGCUUAGCUUGACAAAUGGAGCUAUUGGCUUUGAAUUGUAUUUGUGGAAUGUAUUACCAACAGAGGUGCAGGUGCCAGCCUAUUAAAUAAAGCGUCAAUGAGGGUGAGAAUCCUGUUUGUCAUGUGCAGCCCUUUGUGCACGGUGUAUAUUUGCUGAGUCACACUCCUUGGCAUUGGAAUGCAAAGUGGGUGGUAAGUUUCAUGUACAGGUAAACAUGCAAUUGAGACUGAUAGCACACAAGUACCAUGAGGGAAAUAUGAAAAGGACUUUGAAAAGAGAAUUAAAUGAGUUUGUAUUUGCUGAACACAAAGUAAACAGACUUGAUUUGCUUGGUGGGAGUGUUGCACUUGCUUGACAAGAGCUUUGGGCUGUGGGUGUAAUGAUUAUUUCUUUGCAUGCCAGUUUCUAUGUGUACAUCUGAUUACCUUUGCACAUGAAUGAUAAGUCUCCUGUGGGGGGUGGAUUGCAUGUGCAUGUAAUGAUUUGUGUUUUGAUAAAUGUGUCUGGUGUAUGUGUGUGUGUUCCUGUGCUUGGGGAUGCUUCCUUCCUUGGACUCACAAGCCCUGACACACACAUGCUGGCAAAAUGCUUCUGCUUGACCCGUCUUGAAACACGGACCAAGGAGUCUAACAUAUGUGCAACGUUUGAAGGUGGUAUACCUUUGUGUGCAAUGAAAGUGUCAGCUGGGAUGUGUGCACCAGCACCCAAUUAAUUAGCGGACAGAGGUUUGAGUUGGAGCAUAUCUAUUAGGACCCGAAAGAUGGUGAACUAUGCCUGAACAGAAUGAAUUCAGAGGAAACUCUGAUGGAGGUUCGUAUCGAUACUGACGUGCAAAUCGUUCGU